rnacentral:rRNA from 1 species
GCCUAGCCGUAAAUCAAUUAAUUACACCAACCAACGCGAGGGAAUUACGAGCUAUGCUUAAAACCCAAAGGACUUGACGGUGUCCCACCCACCUAGAGGAGCCUGUUCUAUAAUCGAUGAUCCCCGAUACACCUAACCAUUCCUCGCCCAUCAGUCUGUAUACCUCCGUCGAAAGCCUACCAUGUGAACGCUUACAGUAGGCCCAAUGAUCCUCAUCAACACGUCAGGUCAAGGUGCAGCUUACGGAAUGGUAAGCAAUGGGCUACAAUUUCUAAUUUAGAACAAACGAAAGACUCUGUGAAACCUUAGUCAUGAAGGCGGAUUUAGUAGUAAAAGGAAAAUAGAGUGUUCCUUUUAACCCGGCUCUGGGACGCGUACACACCGCC